AGAAAAUGAGGUUGCUCAAAAGCAACCUGAUUAGUUUAAACAUUGCUAUGGAUUUGAAAUAUUUUGUUUUAUCUGGAACUGUUUAAUUUUUCUCAUUUGUCACUAACUAGAUCUUAUAAAAUGCUAAAUUCCUAUACAGCUGGAAAAAAUAAGAGAGGGACAGUUUCUUAUGUGGAGUCAUAUUCCUUUGCUACUGUCUGCUGAAAAGUCCAAACCUGCUGUCAGCUUGCAAGAUUGGUCAAUUAUAGUUGCCUCUGUCCAAGGAACCAGGUCUGAGUGACUGUCUUGGAGGAUAGCAGAAGAAAGCACUAAUCUUCACUAGGAACAAUUCUGACGUGUCCUGAUGUCUCGUGCAAAAGAACCAGAUGGCAUUCCUUUCCCUCAUUUGAAGCAGGCAGCACCACCUCCUCCCACAAAGACACAUUAACCACCGCAUGGACCAUGUCACCUCCCGGGAGACUUUCACCAGCCGGGAUCAGGAUCUAAAACACAGGUGUUUGUAUUCAAAGCUCCAAGGACCUGUUGACUUCACCAGGACCAUCAGAUUCAAACUCUUCCAGGAUAACCAGACAACAGGCACACUUGGGCAUUUCUAUAGAAUCUGAACAACUAAAGUCCAACUUUGAGUAAAUCUGAGCAACUUUAUCCAACAAAUGCUUAUAAUAAUCUUCACAGCAACCUGUAAAUGUUCUUCUGGACCCUCCUUACCCAGGAGGGAUUGAGUCACCUUAAAGAGGGCCACUGACCCUCUCUCUGCAGAUGCAAUUAGGGCAGAAAAAUAACUAUGUUUUGCUACCCUUAUCAUUAUAAGGUAAUGGCUAAGAAAGAAUCUCUGCUCAAUCAGAUUCACUUUUGUCUUCCUCCAGCAAUGUUAUGGGGGUCUCUUGUGCUGCUUUAGCUCCUGGAGUUCCUCUGAAAUCCAGGGGGUUCUUUAGAAUCCCCAUACAUAGAGAGUCCACACAGGUGUGAUCCAAACCAAGGCCAUUGUCAUCUUUUCAUUCCUAGUGGCAAGUAAUGCUUCAAUCAAAUUAUACAGCAGAACUAAUCCAAGGAAUAUACAAGUGGUAGGAAAUCUCCUUCAGUUCGCCACUCAGUAGUUCUCCCGUGCAUUAUGUGGUAUGCAGUUUUCUGGGAAUUGCUUACUGAACCAGACAUAUAACAUUCAGUACAAGGAUGGGUACAAAGCACAGACAUGGAUUGCAGAACAAUAAAUUAAGGAGACAAAGUGUAACAGAACACCUAUUCAAUACUCUGAUACUUAAAAUCAGAAGCAAUUUCAGUUAUUUCAGUGUGUUUUAUUAACAGCGUGGACAUGCUGUAAGAUGUUACAAAACACUGUAUGGAUCAAAUUAUACCCUGGCAGACAUGCAAAGAUAAUUAACAAAUGAAAUUUUGAAGAAAAGAAAGAGCAAAGGUCAAGAACAGAUAAUCGUUCCAUUGUAAGAUUACCAAAAUCUUAUUGAAUAUGAAUAAAUUAAUAAAUGCAUGCUAAACGCCUUCUGUAAGAUUAAGUGGUAAUGUCUUUUUUGGGGGGCAGGGAUUUCAUAACUAUUUUUUAGUAUUACUGGUGAUGCCACUUUUUAAGCAGUUCACUUUUUAAGCAUCAAAUUUUGGGGCUGAUGGGCACAUUUGGAAUUUUUAGUGCAUGUUAUGGGCACUUCAUAAAAUGGUUGCCAUGAUGGGUGUAGCCACAUGCACGUGUGCGUGCAUAUACGCACACACACACAGAGUAAGGUAGGCUAUGGUUUGCUGCCAUCCACAUUUUUAUUUUCUAAGAAUUUGCCAUCUACCCAAGGACCAAAGGCAUUAUCAAACCACAGGGAGGAAUACCUGAUUGACCUUGGCUGGGCUCAGAAGCUAAACAGGAUCAGGACUGCUUAGGACAUGGAUGGGGAUCAACAAUCCCUGGGAAGUCCAAAAAUGGAAUUUCAGGUUAGGGUCAAAUUACUUCUAGUCUGCGUGGUAUAACUCUCCCCAAAGUAAGAGAUACUAAAAAAAAAAAAAAAACUAUGUUGUAGUUGGACACAAUAAAAAAUAAUCCUUGAAAGCACAAUCUUGGAGCCUUUGCCCUAGGCUGAAGUGCCCUGUAGGUAGUCCUCGCUUACCAACUGCCUCAUUCAGUGGC